GAAACCCGGGAAUUUGUUGCCGAACGAAGAUGUUCAGAGCGCGCUUCGGUCCACAUAUGGGUACUCGAGAGGUCUGAAGUUCCAUGAAACCACCAUGAAUCCAGGGCUCGGAUCACCUCGUUGCCUUUUCUCUUCUUAAACCCGACCCUGUUAAAAGUGAAUGGGGCAUCAAUCCUGUUCUCCAUAAUAUCGCCGCAGUGGUUUUGCUCUUCCAUGAUUUGCUCUACUCACUGUAACAUCCUACUAUGCCUCCUUAAGUGCUUCUCAUGAUGGAAUUUCACUUCUCACUCAAAGAAAUGAAGACAGCCACACUUCUCGAACUUAGCAACAAAGGACUCAAUGAUUUCACAGGAUUCAAGCUAAUCCACACUUUCCAUAAGUGUUGUGAAGGAAGGGCCUGGCUGGCUGUCUCCUUUCCAGCACUCGAGGUACCUUAAAAUUCACAAAGUGCGCAGGAGGGAGGGAUGUACAGUGGCACCUCAAAAGAAAGGGGGAGGGCUAUGCUUUUAGGUACAGCCAGAAGUGGCAGUGACUCAGUUUGGAUUCAAUUAGUUUAUUGACUCUGCUUUCUACAUUUGCAGGCUCAUUUCAAUCUUGUCUUUGGCAAUAACUACGAGAUUCUUAUAUUUGUAGGACAAUACAUUGAACCAAAACUCAAAGCAAAUUAUUAUUGGAUUAUUUUUCAUUUGAUUGCUCAAAUGGAAUGAGAUUGUCAGAGGUUUAAGAAAAAGAGAAGAAAAAGUGAAGUAUGGUUGCUCUCAGAAUCAAACUGGAAACCACACACACUUGUCCUCAAAAAGUAGGCAAUCAUCAAUGUUUGUCAAAAUAUCUCAUCCUUUGCCUCUUCCAAUGCUUCUACUCAUCUAAUUAAACACACAAUUCUUUUCACUUUUUGUGGGUUAACUUAUAGAUUUGGUCUUGGUCGCUGUUAUUUCUUAUCUCUAUGUAUUUCACCGCUCUAUCGAAAAUUUUCUUUAUUC